rnacentral:misc_RNA from 1 species
AACCUAGCACACCUGCGGUGUGUACCUGCGGAAGGAUCAUUAAUAAAUGUUACUUCGGUAACUUAAUUAAUCCCUAACACCUGUGCAUCUUGUCGCUCCGGCGUCAUUUUAUAAACAUCAGUGUAAUGAAUGUAAAGUAUUAUAACAAAUACAACUUUCAGCAACGGAUCU